UACGUAGGGGGCAAGCGUUGUCCGGAAUCAUUGGGCGUAAAGAGCGUGUAGGCGGCUUGGUAAGUCCGCUGUGAAAGUCCAGGGCUCAACCCUGGAAAGCCGGUGGAAACUGUCAAGCUUGAGUCUGGAAGAGGCGAGUGGAAUUCCUGGUGUAGCGGUGAAAUGCGCAGAUAUCAGGAGGAACACCAAUGGCGAAGGCAGCUCGCUGGGACGGUACUGACGCUGAGACGCGAAAGCGUGGGGAGCAAACAGG
rnacentral:rRNA from 1 species